rnacentral:rRNA from 1 species
GAUGAACGCUGGCGGCGUGCUUAACACAUGCAAGUCGAACGGAAAGGCCCAAGCUUGCUUGGGUACUCGAGUGGCGAACGGGUGAGUAACACGUGGGUGAUCUGCCCUGCACUUCGGGAUAAGCCUGGGAAACUGGGUCUAAUACCGGAUAGGACGCUGGUUUGGAUGCUAUUGUGGAAGGUUUUUUCGGUGUGGGAUGAGCUCGCGGCCUAUCAGCUUGUUGGUGGGGUAAUGGCGUACCAAGGCGUUGAUGGGUAGCCGGCCUGAGAGGGUGUACGGCCACAUUGGGACAGAGAUACAGGCCAGGCUCCUACGGGGGGCAGUAGUGGGGAAUAGUGCACAAGGGGCGCAAGCCUGAUGCAGCGACGCCGCGUGGGGGAUGACGUCCUUCGGGUUGUAAACGCCUUUCGCUAGGGACGAAGCGCUUUUGUGACGGUACCUGGAGAAGAAGCACCGGCUAACUACGUG